rnacentral:pre_miRNA from 1 species
ACACUACUCCCUCCGUUCGGAAUUACUCGUCCAAGAAAUGAAUGUAUCUAGACGUAUUUUAGUUGUAGAUACAUCCAUUUUUGUGACAAGUAAUUCCGAACGGAGGGAGUAUUAG